rnacentral:snRNA from 1 species
AUCUCUUCUUGGCCUUUUGGCUAAGAUCAAGUGUAGUAUCUGUUCUACAGACAUUCAUCAGGGCCCAGUUUAUGCCGGACGCUAU